rnacentral:rRNA from 1 species
CAGCAGCCGCGGUAAUACGAAGGGUGCAAGCGUUAAUCGGAUUUACUGGGCGUAAGGGGCGCGUAGGUGGUUAUUUAAGUGAGAUGUGAAAGCCCCGGGCUUAACCUGGGAACUGCAUCUUAUACUGGGUAACUGGAGUGCAGUAGAGGGUAGUGGAAUUUCCAGCGUAGCGGUGAAAUGCGUAGAUAUCGGAAGGAACACCAGUGGCGAAGGCGGCUACCUGGACUGAGACUGACACUGAGGCGCGAGAGCGUGGGGAGCAAACAGGAUUAGAUACCCGAGUAGUCCCUGUCUCUUAUAC